AUACGGAGGAUCCGAGCGUUAUCCGGAUUUAUUGGGUUUAAAGGGAGCGUAGGUGGAUUGUUAAGUCAGUUGUGAAAGUUUGCAGCUCAACCGUAAAAUUGCAGUUGAAACUGGCAGUCUUGAGUACAGUAGAGGUGGGCGGAAUUCGUGGUGUAGCGGUGAAAUGCUUAGAUAUCACGAAGAACUCCGAUUGCGAAGGCAGCUGACCAGAGCGCAAAUGACGCUCAUGCACGAAAGUGCGGGGAUCGAACAGGAUUAGAUACCCUGGUAGUCCGCACAGUAAACGAUGAAUACUUGUUUUCGGCGAUAUAAUGUCGGAGGCAAAGCGAAAGCGAUAAGUAUUCCACCUGGGGAGUACGCCGGCAACGGUGAAACUUAAAGGAAUUGACGGGG
rnacentral:rRNA from 1 species